AUAAUACUCCAUAGAUUAGAGACACUAGAAUGUUCUUUAGUCGAAAGUUCUGGCGCCUUAGGAUGGAUCUGCGGUCGAUUAGGUUGUUGUUGGGGUAACGGCCCAACAAGCCUGUAAUCGAUACGGGUUGUGGGAGCAAGAGCCCGGAGAUGGAAUCUGAGACACGAUUCCAGGCCCUACGGGGCGCAGCAGGCGCGAAAACUUUACAAUGCAGGAAACUGUGAUAAGGGAACUCCGAGUGCCCGUAUACGCGGGCUGUCCAGGUGUUUAAAAAUCAUCUGAAGAAAGGGCCGGGCAAGACCGGUGCCAGCCGCCGCGGUAAUACCGGCGGCUCGAGUGGUGGCCACUAUUAUUGGGCUUAAAGCGUCCGUAGCUGGACCGAUAAGUCUCUUGGGAAAUCCGCCGGCUCAACCGGCGGGCGUCUAAGGGAUACUGUUAGUCUAGGGACCGGGAGAGGUGAGAGGUACUCCGGGGGUAGGAGUGAAAUCCUGUAAUCCCCGGGGGACCACCGAUGGCGAAGGCAUCUCACCAGAACGGCUCCGACAGUGAGGGACGAAAGCUGGGGGAGCGAACCGGAUUAAAUACCCGGGUAGUCCCAGCCGUAAACUAUGCGCGUUAAGUGU
rnacentral:rRNA from 1 species